rnacentral:snoRNA from 1 species
GAAGUGCACGAAUACGAGCUGGGGAGUUUCCAGGACUUUUCCAGCUUGAAGGCUGGGGGUGAUGCUAACGCCCGGGGAAGCUGGCUUCCCAAAAAGG